rnacentral:rRNA from 1 species
UGAGGAAUAUUGGUCAAUGGACGAGAGUCUGAACCAGCCAAGUAGCGUGCAGGAAGACGGCCCUAUGGGUUGUAAACUGCUUUUAUAAGGGAAUAAAGUGAGUCUCGUGAGACUUUUUGCAUGUACCUUAUGAAUAAGGACCGGCUAAUUCCGUGCCAGCAGCCGCGGUAAUACGGAAGGUCCGGGCGUUAUCCGGAUUUAUUGGGUUUAAAGGGAGCGUAGGCCGGAGAUUAAGCGUGUUGUGAAAUGUAGACGCUCAACGUCUGCACUGCAGCGCGAACUGGUUUCCUUGAGUACGCACAAAGUGGGCGGAAUUCGUGGUGUAGCGGUGAAAUGCUUAGAUAUCACGAAGAACUCCGAUUGCGAAGGCAGCUCACUGGAGCGCAACUGACGCUGAAGCUCGAAAGUGCGGGUAUCGAACAGGAUUAGAUACCCUGGUAGUCCGCACGGUAAACGAUGGAUGCCCGCUGUUGGUCUGAAUAGGUCAGCGGCCAAGCGAAAGCAUUAAGCAUCCCACCUGGGGAGUACGCCGGCAACGGUGAAACUCAAAGGAAUUGACGGGGGCCCGCACAAGCGGAGGAACAUGUGGUUUAAUUCGAUGAUACGCGAGGAACCUUACCCGGGCUUGAAUUGCAGAGGAAGGAUUUGGAGACAAUGACGCCCUUCGGGGCCUCUGUGAAGGUGCUGCAUGGUUGUCGUCAGCUCGUGCCGUGAGGUGUCGGCUUAAGUGCCAUAACGAGCGCAACCCCUCUCCUUAGUUGCCAUCAGGUUAAGCUGGGCACUCUGGGGACACUGCCACCGUAAGGUGUGAGGAAGGUGGGGAUGACGUCAAAUCAGCACGGCCCUUACGUCCGGGGCUACACACGUGUUACAAUGGCAGGUACAGAGAGACGGUCCCUUGCAAAAUGGAUCAAAUCCUUAAAGCCUGUCUCAGUUCGGACUGGGGUCUGCAACCCGACCCCACGAAGCUGGAUUCGCUAGUAAUCGCGCAUCAGCCAUGGCGCGGUGAAUACGUUCCC